rnacentral:rRNA from 1 species
UACGGAGGGUGCAAGCGUUAUCCGGAUUUACUGGGUUUAAAGGGUGUGUAGGCGGGCUAUUAAGUCAGUGGUGAAAUCUCCGGGCUCAACCCGGAAACUGCCAUUGAUACUAUUAGUCUUGAAUUUUGUUGAGGUAGGCGGAAUAAGUCAUGUAGCGGUGAAAUGCAUAGAUAUGACUUAGAACACCAAUUGCGAAGGCGGCUUACUAAACAAAUAUUGACGCUGAGGCACGAAAGCGUGGGGAUCAAACAGG